UCCGUCGCUAAGCAACCAGUUGGGGUAAAUCUAUAUUACUAUUCCGCGGCGGCCUAGACUAUGGCAGUUGCCGUUUUUCUAUGUAGUUUUACCUACUGAACAAGAAUUUUAAGUAUGAUUUAUUCGGAUGACUGUAAUUAAUCCCCAGGGGCUCGUACUAAACACGGCGAAAUACAUUUGACGCCCCAAUUCCUGGUGGCUUUCGUAUUCGCAGGGACAAACGAUGCGGAAUGCUCAUAUAGAAAUACCCCAGUUGGUUCCUAGCAACGUAAAUGAAAAUCUAAUCCAUCGGACCAACCUUAGGAGAGCUGUUAAUUAGCUCAGAGGUCUGGUUAAACCAAGAUAUACUUGAGUUAUUUGAAGCCUUGUGCACACAUGGAAGGAUAUUAAUUAGCAGUUGGUUUAACUGUAUUCUCAAAGUUCCAAGUCAGUGAGGUUGCUGAUGAUAUGAUGUGCAUAUAAUGGGAUUUGCAGCAAAAUCUUUCUGUAGGCUUAAUACCUCUUCACAAUGUCCAAUUACUACUACUCCAAAUAUAUAUAUCUUGCUGUACCCCACAUUACUGUAAUCAGUGAGAAUACAUAUAUAAAACUUGUCAAAAUGUUCGGUAAUUAAAAUUAAAUCAUGUAAUGACAUUAUUUUAUGACUAAGGGAAUGUCGUCAUAAACAUAAAUGGGUCCGUCUUAUUAGAAACAAAAUAUUGAAAACUAGAUUUUGGGGGUUUUCCGGUCUACAAUUCGAUUUCAACCAUUCGGAGAUAUUGAGCACCUGCUGAUACACCUUGAGAUUUGUAGCUUCAUCUAAUUUAUCACAUCAGUUGUGUCACUGGUAAACCGUUAUAUUUCACCAAUUAGGAUAUUAGAUAACUUAUUCAAAGUUUAAUAAUUUUUCAGGAUUAAUCUCCAAUCUGAGGAUUCUGAAUCCUGAUACUUCAUCUGGAAUAUGGAUUUACAGUAUAGAAGUUUAAGUAUGGAACAUGCACGGCAAGUUUUUGGAAUAUAGACAAGUCAAUCUUCAUUCAGAAUAUUAAAUUAGGACGAACCUAAUCACUAUUCAUCACAACUGCCCAAUCUUAACCUAACUCGAACCUUUCAAAGAUGCAAGAUGAACCCAGGAAGGAUAUCGAUGUUCAUCCUCACUAGUCUAAGAAUAACAGCACCAACAGCAAGAUCGAUGACUUGAGUACCUCGAUGAGGCCUAGCCAUUGAGAAGGGACGUCACGAGUUGUGGAAAGAGGUAGCAAACAUUAUUUCUAAAACUAAUUAGUGUAGAAAGAAGUAGCAAGAUGAUUUCUUCAAUCAACUCUUAUGGUCAAAUAAACAAGGCUGGGUUAUUUUGCCAACCUACAAGGGUAUAGUCAAUACAGUGACUAUUGGGUGCCGAUAGCUGUUGAAGCAGUUUUUAUGUCUAACAGCAGCCAAUUUUGGACACAACGAACACGUGCCAUAUAUGUUGAAGAGUAGUGAGGUGCCUUCAGAUUGUGCAGAGACAGAGGCCUUAUGAAAAGUGUUAAUUUUCAGUGCAAGGUUUUGACUUCUUGUAUGCUGGGGAAAUUUGAUACAUGGCAGUAUUUACACCCGAACCAAUGUCUACACAGCACAACUAUACUCCUGGCAUGGUAUAAUGGAAAAAUGAAAAAGCGUAUACAUGUCUACAAUAAUAUUAAAGACACGUACAAUUUUUUUCAAUUAAUACAUAUCUAUACGGCAACUUGAAAACUUUACAAUUUUCUCACUGCUAAGCAGUAGUGCACCAAGUACAAGACCCCUGUUAUUUUGUGUUUAAAUAAACACUGAACUCUCUGCUCUCUGAAGAGAACAUCUGCCAUGUAAACUGCCACUGAAGAAUAAAGUAGUUGUUGUUGCCCAGAACUGUAAAAUUUGUUUCACAUUAUUGGUGAUGUUAAGACUGUCCACCAAGGUAAGGUGGACAGCCAUAAUUGUCGGGCUUCUUUCGUGGAUAAUUUAGCAAAAAUUUCAACACAAGAAUUACAAUUAGACUUAAAAGUUUUUCAUGCCUUAAGUCAUCUGCGUGGUUACUUUUGCUGAAGGUCAGGUGUUAUGUUCCCCAUUUUAAUAUUUCUAGCUUGUGUUUCGUUCUA